AUGCAGUCGAACGCUUCACUUCGGUGAAGAGUGGCGAACGGGUGAGUAAUACAUAAGUAACCUGGCAUCUACAGGGGGAUAACUGAUGGAAACGUCAGCUAAGACCGCAUAGGUGUAGAGAUCGCAUGAACUCUAUAUGAAAAGUGCUACGGGACUGGUAGAUGAUGGACUUAUGGCGCAUUAGCUUGUUGGUAGGGCAACGGCCUACCAAGGCGACGAUGCGUAGCCGACCUGAGAGGGUGACCGGCCACACUGGGACUGAGACACGGCCCAGACUCCUACGGGAGGCAGCAGUAGGGAAUUUUCGGCAAUGGGGGAAACCCUGACCGAGCAACGCCGCGUGAAGGAAGAAGUAAUUCGUUACGUAAACUUCUGUCAUAGAGGAAGAACGGUGGAUAUAGGGAAUGAUAUCCAAGUGACGGUACUCUAUAAGAAAGCCACGGCUAACUACGUGCCAGCAGCCGCGGUAAUACGUAGGUGGCGAGCGUUAUCCGGAAUUAUUGGGCGUAAAGAGGGAGCAGGCGGCACUAAGGGUCUGUGGUGAAAGAUCGAAGCUUAACUUCGGUAAGCCAUGGAAACCGUAGAGCUAGAGUGUGUGAGAGGAUCGUGGAAUUCCAUGUGUAGCGGUGAAAUGCGUAGAUAUAUGGAGGAACACCAGUGGCGAAGGCGACGAUCUGGCGCAUAACUGACGCUCAGUCCCGAAAGCGUGGGGAGCAAAUAGGAUUAGAUACCCUAGUAGUCCACGCCGUAAACGAUGAGUACUAAGUGUUGGGUGUCAAAGCUCAGUGCUGCAGUUAACGCAAUAAGUACUCCGCCUGAGUAGUACGUUCGCAAGAAUGAAACUCAAAGGAAUUGACGGG
rnacentral:rRNA from 1 species